CCCGGUCAGGCUGUCCCUGCGGGAAGCUGCUGCGGGGUGAGCUGGGGCUGAGUCAGCAGCGAGACGACCUCUGGCAGAGAAGUGCCGCCCAGGGACAGCCCUGUGGUGUCAAAGCGGUUUUUACACGGCUUCUUGUGGGGCGAGUUCUCUCCACGCGGUGAGGAGCACCAGUUCGCUGUGCUGUGCUCCGUUUGUCGUUUUCCUGAGAGGAAACAUGCGCACCGCAGCUCGUGCCAAGUGUGGCAGUGAUUUCUGCCAUAGUGUCGCCGUGGCAGCCGGACCAAGACUCCAACCACCCAUCCUCUGGUGGCAAUGGCACCUUGCCGGCAGGCUUGGACGCCAGGCCUGCUCAUUCGGCUCUGUCACUCAGCAGCAGCUCCCUCCAUCCUGCUGUCCCUGCUGCCCUCCUACCACCUCAUUACCUUCCAGCUAACCACCUCGUCAGUGGGCUGCAAUAGGACAGAAGUUUGAGCAGUGUGAUGCAAGCGAGCAGAGCUGCCCCAUGCCAGUGGCUCAGCCAUCCUGCUGCUAGGAUUGGGCUCGCCCACACAAGGCAUCUCAGCUUCAUUUUCAAAACAUUCCUCAAGAAGCUGUCUUCUCUCCUUGCCCUCAUAAAUGACAGCAGUUCCUGAAGUAAGAGGAGUGAGAGGAAAACUUCUGCAGAAGCUCUCUGACAGGACUUGCUCCUUUGCCUGUGAGCACACACUUUGUGAAAGCGAGUGUGGGUUUCCAGACCAAAAUGAGGAAUUUCUCUUUCACAACAGAGUCCUAUUGUAUCAAUAACAUGAAGGCACAUUACUCCAAACUGAACAUCACAGGGCAACUGCUUGAGGAAAAAAGAAAAAAUCAAUAUAUGAUGAAAAAGGCACCCAACUCCAGCACAGAAAGGAAAUGCUCAUUUCCAGUAUUCUGAGCUGCUCCUCGUGUCCCUCUAAAUCGCUGUUGUGAUAUUGUCAUUACUCUCCUAGCAUUAUGGUUUCCAAAGACAGUAUUUCCCUGAAUGACAAUGAGGAAGUUUUGCUGCUGCUGUACAAACUGUUAAUUGUUUUUCUGUCAUGCCUUGAGGCCUUGGUGAGGACUCCUUCCAUUGCACUUCGCUCCUAAGAAGAAUUCUGAAGAAGCAUUCCUGCUGCCUCAGGUGCUGCAUUCUCGUUCCCACUGCCCACAGGCAAAAGGGGAUUCAUGUUGGUGUGAAGGUGAAGAAAUCAGUGACACAUCAAUCUGGGAUGUCGGCUAUCUUGAGGUGCACAUCUACGUUUUUGAUGAAAUGCAGAACUUUAUUCUUUAGUAACAGGUGUGUCUGGGUGAAAUUCUAUACCCUUUGAAACAGGUAAGAACAAAGAAGUCUCAGCCACCACCCCCUAGGGUGGAGUUACAAGGUGCAUUCAUCAUCCUCAAUUACAGACAUAUUUGCAGAGGGCUGUGGCAUGACACCAUGAAAGAUGCACAACUAGCUGUUUAAAUCAUUGAAUAGAAACCUAAUUGGGAGGUAUGCAAGUAAGGAGUGAUGGAGUGAUACCUUACCCACCUUUCCUUGGCUUGCCUUUCCUUGAGUGCAUCACCAGUUUUGAGGAGACAGGAAGGCAUGAAUGAUUUUAGGGCUGAUAUUUCCCUCGCACCUCACCUAGUGGCUCUGCAGUAUGUGUUUCUGCAGAAGCCAUUCAGACUGGUCUGCUGGUCACUGCACAUGUGCUUGUGGCAGGCUGCAACCAGGAAGACAACACACUUUGCUUUACAUGAAGUAGCUGGCAGCUCCUGAGUUCGCACCAAAUCCAUACCUCUUUAUAACGCUUCUUGCCUGUCUUUCUUGCCUCAGUCUAAAAACACACAGUUUUUAGUGUGAAAGCUGUACAUGAUACAAUUUUGCUUAUGUUGCUUCAUUAGCAAAUAUUCUGUCCUAGCCACUCUUCCUGUGCCCGUGGACUUAGGUUUACAUUUGUGAGGAUUUAAAACUGGAAGUAUGUCCAUUUUCCAUCUUGAUUCAUGAAUUUUGCGGUCCUUUGUUUACUGCGAGGUGCACAAGGAGGGCUUCUGAAGAAAGGAGACAGGAAACAUAGUCCACAUGUGGCAACAAAGAGGCAGUUUUGGGGAGGUGGUGGUCAGAGAGAUGGGACAUUUCUGGGUGUCUAUCAUAGCCAAAUGACACAUUGUUUUCUGGUAUAAAGAAUAUUUUCAUAAUGAGCAGUGAAUUCAGUCUGGCUGCACCUACAGCCCCAAGAACAAACAGUCUAGAGGUCAGUUUGUCAAUAAAUACCAUCUGCUUAGCAGCAUGGAAU
rnacentral:lncRNA from 1 species